UGGGGAAUAUUGCACAAUGGAGGAAACUCUGAUGCAGCGACGCCGCGUGAGGGAAGAAGAUUUUCGGAUUGUAAACCUCUGUCUUCGGGGACGAAGUAUGACGGUACCCGAGGAGGAAGCCACGGCUAACUACGUGCCAGCAGCCGCGGUAAUACGUAGGUGGCAAGCGUUGUCCGGAAUUACUGGGUGUAAAGGGAGCGCAGGCGGGUUUGCAAGUUGGAUGUUUAAACUAUGGGCUCAACCCAUAGGUGCAUUCAAAACUGCAGAUCUUGAGUGGUGCAGAGGCAGGCGGAAUUCCCGGUGUAGCGGUGGAAUGCGUAGAUAUCGGGAGGAACACCAGUGGCGAAGGCGGCCUGCUGGGCACUAACUGACGCUGAGGCUCGAAAGCAUGGGUAGCAAA
rnacentral:rRNA from 1 species